rnacentral:rRNA from 1 species
UACAGAGGGUGCGAGCGUUAAUCGGAAUUACUGGGCGUAAAGCGCACGUAGGUGGCGACGUAAGUCGGGUGUGAAAGCCCCGGGCUCAACCUGGGAAUUGCACUCGAGACUGCAUUGCUGGAGUACGGAAGAGGAGGGCGGAAUUCCCGGUGUAGCGGUGAAAUGCGUAGAGAUCCGGAAGAACACCGGUGGCGAAGGCGGUCGACUGGGCCAGUACUGACGCUGAGGCGCGACAGCGUGGGGAGCAAACAGG